ACCAACAAAAUGGAGUGUCGUAGAUUUUUUUGGGAUUAUUACAACGGAGAAGAUGAACAAACUUUAACAUGGAGGAAACACUGCCGGAAAAUUGUGAUCGCAUUUUGUCACUGUUUUGUCACCAAAAACUCGAUCUAAACCCUACUCCGCCUACUCCGAUCGCACCGCCACCAUACAACCACCGUCCAACACAUCACCAAAGCCUCCUCCGACCAACUCCUCAGCAAAUUCUCCAUACGGAAGUCGUACAACGGAAGUCGCAAAACAAAAGUCGCAGAACAGACCUGGUCGGAAAAUCCUCCCGCCGAUUCACUUUCCGGCUCUGCUCCUCGAUCAUCCGCCCGUUCUCACAUGUCGUUACUGGUUCCUGUGCCAACGAGAGAUCUAUUGUGAAGGAAGAGUUCGUUUUUUGGAACAAUCGAGAAGAUUGACAAAAAUGUUUCCCGAUAGAGACUGGAUGUACACGAAGAGAACCACUAGUAAUGGUAUUUUUAACCCGACAUUUCAACUAUAUGUCAAUGAUAUCUUGGAUUUUGCAUUCACAACUCGUAUGUCAGAGAUGCACCUCAUAAUACCUCACGAGGGAGAUUGAUCGAGCGUCGUCCAUCGGGAGAAGGGUUUGUGAACGUGCAUGGUGAUGUUCAUAAGACUAUCUCUCGUAUACUACGUGAGCAUCAUGAUGGAGCUUGGCUCAUGUUCAAACAGAUUCCGCGGGAAGAAGUGGCUCGUAUGUUUGUAUGACCGUUUAGGACCGUUGGACAUGGGAUCCAACAAACGAAGAAGCAAUAUACGAAGGCUUUCUUAAUGUGCUAAAGGGACGUUUAGAGACAUUACAAUGCAACUGAGAAUAAAAGUUAUAAAGCUUGCUUAUAAAGCUGGAGAAAAAAUUAACCCAAGUGUUCCUAAUCAGUUUCGCAUUAUUCGUAAAUACUCGCCCGAAUCAAUACCUAUUAACAUAUGGCGUGACAUGUGUUCGUCUUGGAACACAAAAGAAUGGCUUGAUAAGUCGAAGACCGGGUCAUCAAACCGGAAAAGCGGCGAUAUCAAUUGUGCUAGCGCAUCAUCUCGACACACAGGUGGAUCAAUGGGCUUUAAUGAGCAUCGUGACAAUUGGAAAAGGACAUAUGAUCGGGAACCUAGUUGGAAAGAACUCUUCCUACAAACCCACCUCACCAAAAAAGUGCAAAGAAAAGUUAAGGAAAGGGGAUAUUAGCAUAUAUGACAUGAAGAAUUUGGAGUUUUGUACAGACGAAUCCAGAGAAGCAUAUGGUGGCUACUUGGAGGCGAUGCAUGAUCUUCACGGGUCGGACUUUGCUAAGGUUCCUGAUGAACCUGAGGUGUGGGCUCGUGUGUAGGCAGGAGGUCACAGGAUUCGGGUAUAUGGGGUAGGAUCUUCGGAUUUGCAUUACAUGGUGACUGGGACGUCAUCCUCUUCUAGUGGGUGUGUGUCAUCAUCUAUUGAUUACCAACGGUCACAAGAAGAGGUAAUAUAAACAACAUAUAUAACACUAUCAGCCCAUUAGAUAGUAUUUCAAUAUCAUAAACAUGGGUCAUUGUGGUGUAGUUACUUAGCUUUUAGGUCUAUUGUUGUGUUUGUUUGUAAUGUGCCAGCACCCGCAUUUAUUUUCUGAAUGAUAAUUCGUCGCUGUUAAAAAAUCGACUAUAAAAAAGUCUAAUUUAUACAUUGGAAGGGAUGUUAUGGCGUUUGGGAAUGAGGCAUAGAUGAGUAUCACUACAAAAAAUCGACUUGAUGUCAUACGGGUAGAGAUGAGCAUAUCGGGUUCUUUUUAUACCCGGAAUCAGUUCCUAACCGUACCCGGUUUUUUGAACCUGGAACCGGUUAUUCAAUAAAGCGGGUAUGAACUGGAACUGGUUCCAGGUUGGGUUUGGAACCGGUUAUUAUGCCCAUCUCUACAUAUGGGUCCAAAAAUGAUGGACUUUUGUGGAAGUCUUAUCUGGUUGGGUUUUGAUUCAUACCGGUUUAGGGCAAUCUUGUUUUGACUUUGUCGAUCAAAUCCGAACCAGCUUUAAAACAUAUGGGCUUUUGUUAUUCUAGUUUACGGAUCUUUGUGAUUGGGCCAUAUAUCCUCUUACAUGGGCCAGACGUUCAGGAAAGUUCCCCGGCCCUUCACUGUAGCUAUAUGGGCUCCUAAGUUGUCCUCAUUGGGACAGAACCUACCACUCAAAAGUAGGUAACUAACUUUUUAGAUAUGUCCAACCUCUCAAAGCUAAGCCAGCCCUUUUUGUUUCUUUGCAAGAGGUAAUGUUUGUUCUUACUGCUAAUAAGCUUUUGAUUAUGCUAUGAAAGUGAUCAUUUGUAUGAGGGAUAAUAGAUGAAUGAAACAUAUUUGAUAAUGUUUGUUCCUGCUGCUAAUGUUUGUUCCUGCUGCUGCUGAAUAGGUCAGUUUGACCAUAAAAAGUCUGGGAAAGUGGAAGAUGUUUCACUUACAACAAGACCACUUUUUGAUUCAGUUCUUUAUCUGGCUUUUUGAUUCAGUUGUUUGUUUAUCUGGUUCAUGAUCUUGAUUGUGUUAUGAUUCUUGAAAAAACCGUUUUUUUAAAUAUCCGGGGUUCAGUUUUUCUUUUUAGUUAAGGCUCAAGCUAUGCGAACAUGAACAUGACUUUCAUAUUAUUUUUUUAAGUUUCUAAUCUCUUUGCCCUAACAUAUUUAAGCUCGUCUUGAAAAUGGAACACAUUCAAGCUCGUCUUGAAAAUGAGAUGAAGGCGAGAGAAGAUCUUAUGGCUCGUCUUGAAAUUGAGAGAAAAGCGAGAGAAGAUCUUUAA